CCUACGGGGUGCUGCAGUGAGGAAUAUUGGUCAAUGGACGAGAGUCUGAACCAGCCAAGUAGCGUGAAGGAUGACUGCCCUAUGGGUUGUAAACUUCUUUUAUAUGGGAAUAAAACGUUCCACGUGUGGGAUUUUGUAUGUACCAUAUGAAUAAGGAUCGGCUAACUCCGUGCCAGCAGCCGCGGUAAUACGGAGGAUCCGAGCGUUAUCCGGAUUUAUUGGGUUUAAAGGGAGCGUAGGUGGAUUGUUAAGUCAGUUGUGAAAGUUUGCGGAUCAACCGUAAAAUUGCAGUUGAAACUGGCAGUCUUGAGUACAGUAGAGGUGGGCGGAAUUCGUGGUGUAGCGGUGAAAUGCUUAGAUAUCACGAAGAACUCCGAUUGCGAAGGCAGUUCACUGGACUGCAACUGACACUGAGGCUCGAAAGUGUGGGUAUCAAACAGGAUUAGAUACCCGAGUAGUC
rnacentral:rRNA from 1 species